CGGGAGUAACUAUGACUCUCUUAA
rnacentral:ncRNA from 6 species